AAGUCAAUAAGCUAGGUGCAUGUUUGAAACAAUUGUGACAUGUUCUUCCUACGCCUUGUAGAUAUACUGAAUUGAGGCACUAUAUGCAUUCUUCAGUUAGAACACACAAUCUCUAGGGUGAUCGAGCUAGGUUCUUUGUCACUAAAUAAAAGACGAGCAAGCAAUCUUUUGUUACAGGCACACGCCCUAUAUUAUUAUCAACUUUCCUAUACUGUCUGCAAGGAUUUCUUUAAUUGUUUUAAUUUUUGUCUGGUUUAUUAUUUUAGAUUUUGCUGGCAGAUCGACGGAAUACUCUGUUACUGUACCUUCUUCAUGUAUUGGUGGUGUAAAGUUCCAUUCAGACUUUGAUUAGUUUUGGGAGUUAAAGUUUUGAUUCAACUCUUAGAUUGGAAUGCUUCGUGACAAUACACCGGCCUUCCUCACACCUUAAGAUUUGUUUUGUUUUUGAUACAACUUCCGCGAAACGGCAAAAACUACACAGCUGAGACAUCACUUUCAUGUUAAAAAUGCUAUUUCAAGCGACCAUGCAAACGAAACCAAAAUUUUAAUUUUCGACUGCAGAUCAGUUGAGAUUAAAGUUUACUGGAUUUGGCAUAAUCAAAUCAAAAGAAGUGACCAAAAUAUUUUAGGGAAACUUAGAAUCAACAAUCAACAGAAUACCUGAUACGUUUCGUCUCAAAAUUAUCUUGGCCAAUCAAGGAAGACAAAAUAAAAGAGUAGGACUGAGUUGAUUGGUUAAAUAACACAAUCCUCUUUGCAUUUAGGAGCCAUCCAAUCAGAUUCUUGGAAGGGGAAGAUAAGCUACCAUCGGUGAAUUUAUUUUCCAUUGCUUGAAACUAACUUAUAAACGAUGCUUUCCCCACAAAACAGAAAAGUAAGGGAAUUUUCAAGCCUGGUAGAGUGGAAUACAGAACUGAAGACCUCUUAUGAAGAUGACAACACAAAGUCCUUUAAGAUGGUUCAAAUGAGGAGUAAUGGUUCUAAGGAAUAUGCUGUAGUCCUGAAGAGGAACAUUCUCUCCUACAUUGUAAACUUGUGACUGUCUUUCAGACAUCAUUCCUAGUGCCAUGUGCCACUGACCGAAGUAAACUGGUCGUGGACUUCGAGAUGUAUCCAUGUAAUG